AAGUAGGGGAUCGCAAGACCUUGCGCUCUUUGAGCGGCCGAUGCCUGAUUAGCUAGUUGGUGGGGUAAGGGCCUACCAAGGCGACGAUCAGUAGUUGGUCUGAGAGGACGACCAGCCACACUGGGACUGAGACACGGCCCAGACUCCUACGGGAGGCAGCAGUGGGGAAUUUUGGACAAUGGGCGAAAGCCUGAUCCAGCAAUGCCGCGUGAGUGAAGAAGGCCUUCGGGUUGUAAAGCUCUUUCAGUCGAGAAGAAAAGGUCGCGACUAAUAAUCUCUACUCAUGACGGUAUCGACAGAAGAAGCACCGGCUAACUACGUGCCAGCAGCCGCGGUAAUACGUAGGGUGCGAGCGUUAAUCGGAAUUACUGGGCGUAAAGGGUGCGCAGGCGGCUUUGUAAGUCAGAUGUGAAAUCCCCGGGCUUAACCUGGGAAUUGCGUUUGAAACUACAUGGCUAGAGU
rnacentral:rRNA from 1 species